AUGUUCCCUGCAUCUCUGCUGCUGCUGGCAGCUGCCUCCUGUGUUCAGAGUCAGACGCUGAUUGAGUCUGGAUCAGUGGUUAAAAAGACUGGAGAAUCCCACCAACUGACCUGUACAGCCUCUGGUUUAGACAUAAAUGGCUACUGGAUGGCUUGGAUCAGACAGGCUCCUGGGAAAGGACUAGAAUGGGUUGCAGCUAUUACUGGCAGUGAUGGUGGUAGCACUUACUACCCCCAGUCUGUUCAGGGUCGGUUCACCAUCUCCAGACAAAAUAGCAUGAAACAGAUUUUUCUCCAGUUGAACAGCUUGAAGACUGAAGACUCUGCUGUUUAUUAUUGUGCCAGAGACACAGUGACACAAGAGGCUGCAAUGCCAUACAAAAACUGGUCAACACUGAUCUCAUCGGAAUUAACAAGUGCAGCUCCCACCAGUCUAACUUCAACACAAACCAUGUUUCCUGCAUACCUGCUGGUGCUGCUGGCAUGGGCCUCCUGUGUGUUCUGUCAGACUGAGCUCACACAGACAGGCUCUAUGACCCUGCAGCCUGGACAGCCUCUGACCCUCUCCUGUAAGGUCUCUGGGUAUUCUUUAACCAGCACCAGCUACUGUACAGGUUAG